UGAUCCCUAUCAGUAUUGACCACCAUCGACAACUUUCAGUAUUGCAGUAUCUCAUUUGAUAAAUAAAUUGCAUUUUGAACAUACAGACAUACCACUGCAUGUGUAUGGCUAUAUGAAGCUCUCUCUAUAUAUAUAAAGCUAUAGUCUACGUGUUAGACUAUAAUAUGUCGUUACCCUCAUUACAGUCUUCACCCUUCCAUCCAGACACGCAUCC